ACAGCCUACAUAACAGUCCACUACAAAUCGAAAAACUCGAACUCCGGUUUUUGAUCACCGUCCGGUGAGUUAUAACUAUUAAGAAAUAAAGUUAUCAACCUUAAUUGAUAUUUAAAGAUUAAAUACUGGAGUAUACAUUUUCAUAACUAUGAAUUACCUUCCAAAACUCAAACUACAAAGAAAGAGAGAGGCAAUAUAUCGAUACUUACAUCGUAGGGAUCAUUCUAGUGUUAUUGAUUCUUGAUUUCAUACCCGAGAUGUUAAUACUCUUUGAAACCCUUGAAGAGAACUUAAGUUAAAUUUAUGGGUGUUCUCUGGUUGUG
rnacentral:lncRNA from 1 species